rnacentral:lncRNA from 1 species
GAUGGUAAAAGGCAGCGUGAUGUCCAUGCAGACCAACAAGAUAGUGAAAAUAGCCAUCUCCUAAGUCAACACUGCAUAUCCUCUUCUCUAUGCAUCCCGUUCCCAUCAGAUGAUCUCAACGACAAUACUGAUCGUAUUGAAUUAGUACUCACCAUAUGAUCAUUGGUUUCUGUUCCGCACAUAUUCGCUCCUAUAAUACAACAUAUGAUCAUCGUUUUGGAAAUGUGAUAUAAGCGAGCCCUUUUGUUUUAUGUAGCCAACUAUUUCAGGAUGG